AACACCAACCCACUCCAACAAUCAGUCCACCAUGACCCCAAACAACCCGGCCAACUCCCCUUUUCUCCUUUUUUACCCAUUAACAACGACGUUGUCAACACAACAAACAACAUCGACAAUUUCAACCCAACAACAUCAAAACCAGUAACCCGUAAAAACAUUAGCAACGCACAACACCAACGCUGUAACAACAGCGACCAAUGACGACCAACAACUUUAACAGCAUACAAACCUUCAGCCAAACCAACCAAUAAAAAGUCCCUGAGAAUUUUAGUCCCACAUCGUCUGGGAAUACCCUAUUUCUAGAUUUGAAACUGUAUAUAAAGGGCUUUUCGUUCUUUAUUUGAAGGGGUGAUUUUUCGAAGUCAAAAAGGGACUAAAAAUUUUCUACUUGGUUGAGAUUUGGACUUUGGUCCCAACCUAGAGUUGUGAGAAUUUUGGUUCAAAUUUUGUGGUUUUGCUUGUUGUUCUCGAGUUAAAAAGAGAAGAGACUUGGGGAAAAACUUGAGGGUUCUAGAGGUGAGCGCUCCUCUAACCCUACGUAACCAAGUUAAUCUUUGGAAUAGUUCAAAAAAAAAUUUAUUAACAUCGUUAGAAUUUGCAAAUUGAAACUUCGGUGGAAGUCGUUCUGAUAAGAGUUCGUUGUUCCAUUCGCUGCCCGGAAAAAGACUCUUCUUAUCCUUCCAUUCGAACCCCGUCGAGUCGAGCCUCAUUAAAGUCCAAAAUUGGACUGAUAUACACAUGAUAACACAAGUAUACAAGCUGGUAUACGUUGAUAUACAACACAUAUACACGAAAAAACAGCAGUUGCACAUUAUCCACAAUUUACAACAAAAAAUGGAGGGGAAAUAAGCAGUUUUCCACACUGAUAUACAGUGUAUACGUGGAGAUAUACAAAAAAAUGCAGAGGAAAAGGAGGUUGUAUACAGCUGCUAUACAACUGCAUAAAUGGACCAAAAGUCCAUAAAGAAUGGGCCCAAAAGCUGGCCAGAUUUGGGAAAAGGCCCAAAUUUUAAUUCUUCUUAUUCUUGUAAAUGCUAUUUGAUUAUGUGCUUGUAUUAAUUUAUUAAUUUGGUUAGCCUUUAUAAAUCUCCUUUGAAUCGUUA